rnacentral:rRNA from 1 species
AUGGACGUGCUGCCAGGGGAGCUGUGCUUCAAGAUCUUCCACCUCCUCGAUCACCAGUCCCUCGCCGCCGCUCCCCAAGUUUGCCGGAAGUGGAACGCGUUGACCUGCGACGACGAGCUGUGGCGCAAGCUGUUCCAGGACAGGUGGGGAGCGGACGCCACGGCCUUCUACGCGCCGGAGCCGGAGGGCGCCAAGCCCUGGAAGGACGUCUUCGUCGUGCAGGACCGAUGCGACCGAUACGGCCUGGGCGUCAGGAUCAUCAGGGAGGGGAACGACUACUACCUGAUCUACCAAGGCGAGAUCCAAAGCUACCUGGGCACGAGCUGCGACGCCAAGGACGCGCAGCCGCAGGGCGCUGAAGCGGAGAAGCGGCAGAUAUCUGACCGGAUCCUCUUCUUCCUGGGGGACCUGGAGACUGCUUAUGCGGACGCCAAGCGUGUCAAGACGUGA